rnacentral:lncRNA from 1 species
AUUUACUGAUUAUAAAAUUACUAUACACCUAAUCUCUUCCAUUGAAUCCUCCUCAAAGAUUCACCAGGUUAGAGGGAAAAUCACAAAGGAGAAUUAUUAAGGAAGAAUUGUGGAAGUACAUGAAAAAAAGGGCACAUACACUGAAGUAAGAAGAUGAGCAUUUUGAUAAAUCAAUAUCAAGUUCAACUGAAGAGCCAUAAAGAUAAGUGCUGUCAACUUGGUAAGCUGUUGUCACAAACACAAGGACUAACUUACCCAAACAGGUUUUAUGAUCCAUGAAAGCCAAAGGC